UACGAAGGGUGCAAGCGUUAAUCGGAAUUACUGGGCGUAAAGCGCGCGUAGGUGGUUCAGCAAGUUGAAGGUGAAAUCCCCGGGCUCAACCUGGGAACUGCCUCCAAAACUACUGAGCUAGAGUACGGUAGAGGGUAGUGGAAUUUCCUGUGUAGCGGUGAAAUGCGUAGAUAUAGGAAGGAACACCAGUGGCGAAGGCGGCGCUCUGGGCCGGAACUGACGCUGAGGAGCGAAAGCGUGGGGAGCAAACAGG
rnacentral:rRNA from 1 species